UGGGGAAUAUUGCACAAUGGGGGAAACCCUGAUGCAGCGACGCCGCGUGAACGAAGAAGGUAUUCGUAUCGUAAAGUUCUGUCCUAUGGGAAGAUAAUGACAGUACCAUAGAAGAAAGCUCCGGCUAAAUACGUGCCAGCAGGCGCGGUAAUACGUAUGGAGCGAGCGUUGUCCGGAAUUAUUGGGCGUAAAGGGUACGCAGGCGGUUUAAUAAGUCGAAUGUUAAAGAUCGGGGCUCAACCCCGUAAAGCAUUGGAAACUGAUAAACUUGAGUAGUGGAGAAGAAAGUGGAAUUCCUAGUGUAGUGGUGAAAUACGUAGAUAUUAGGAGGAAUACCAGUAGCGAAGGCGACUUUCUGGACACAAACUGACGCUGAGGUACGAAAGCGUGGGGAGCAAACAGG
rnacentral:rRNA from 1 species